rnacentral:tRNA from 1 species
UCCCCGGUAGCCUAGUGGUUAAGACCCAGCAUUGUCACUGCUGUGGUAUGGGUUUGAUCCCUGACCUUGGAA